UAUCAGAGGCCGCAUACUUGCUGGUACUUGCCACAGUGCAAAGAUGACGAGGACCUUGUUAGAUGUAAUUACCUUCAUUUUAUCAAAAAAUACCAGAGGCAAGAUAUUCAAUUUGGGCAUUCAAGGUUUCUUUGUUCAUUUUGUAGCCAUUGUAAUUCCAACUUAUGUGGUUACUUGCUCUUAGGUAUGAGAAGCGGCAUUCUAAUAUUCCAACUCACAUGUCCCCAUGCUUCCGUGUGAAAGAG
rnacentral:misc_RNA from 1 species